GUGCUUAUAGACAAGAGCGUGCUGUGAUAAAUUCACUUGAUUCUUACAUACUAUUUCAGUUUGGGGGUCCAACACAAGUUUUUCUGCUUGAUUGUCUCUCUUGGAAUGUUUGGCUAUCCUAUGCAUGGGCAGAGGAAACAUCCUUGGUUGUAGGUAUAGCCUUUCCUUAAUUUGACGGCUUACACCCAAUCAUGGGCUUUCUCUAUCAUUGCAUAGCAAGAUCUUACAGGGCUGCUGGGAGGUUAAAUGCAGCACUGAGUUGAAAGCAGCAGAUUCUGUGUGGGAUGCUAAGUGUAUUGCAUUUGAUUAUUUCCAGUGGACUGAACUCAGAGACCAGGAUUGUGCCUGUUCUUUCCAUGCCUGUUGCUUAGCAUGUUGUGGGAACUUGGUUGAUGAUGGCUGAAUAAAAGAAUCAAUUGAAAACCUUCCUCUACAGUUAUAUUAAGUGACUUGAUGAUUUGGACUCAUAGGCAGCUCAAGGGAGAGUGUUUACGUUUAUUUUUGGUAUGGAGACUGGUCACUUAAACUUCUGACCAUUUUUGUCAAUCUGAUGACUGUGACUGUCCAUCGUAAGUGAUUCCCAGGUACAGAAUUCUGUUGAACUAUUGACUUAACCUUGUUACAAGUAUACCUAGCUUCAACCUUUGUUCUCUUGCUGGGACAUCUGGGCUUUGAGUUCAAUAUUGUUUGUUCUUACAACCCAGCUCCCAAACAUAUGCAGGUCAAUGGACUGGCUCAAACUGCUCCACCAUACUUCUAUGGGGGCCUGUGAUUGGUCAGCACUUUCCUCAGAAGGAGGCAGACCCCUCAUGAACCUGUCCAAUUCUUCUGCUUCAAGGAUGGAGGUACACUUGUUCAAGUUCAGAAGUUGGCAUGUAAUCUUCACUCAGGUGAAAUGUCACCUUGCAUCCCUACCUGACAGAAAUUCUGGUCUCCUGGUUCCAGAAAGAUGUGUUGUGGAUUGAAACAGUUACUCUACACUGGUCGGGAAGAGCGAGAAGGUGGAAGUCCACAGGGGAAGAGUACACAUAUGUGAGAAGAUGCUGGAAAAAUGCCAUUUGAACUGCUGUCUGCCUCUCCUGCUUUUCUCCAAUCCUGGCAGAUACAAGGUGUUAUAAACUCCAAAUAACUCCCAGUCACAACCAAUAUUAAAGGUGGUGACCUGGAAAUAUACAGUCCCCAGGAUAUGAUGAUAUUAGGAAAUCUACACCAGGAUCUCUUGAGAAGGGUGAUAAAUGGAAUCACCUUGAAGCAUGUCCUGGCUGGCUUUGUGGGAGCUGUUGGUGUGUCUGGGAAGCCCUUUAAACAUUGCUUCCUUUUAUGCUGGCCUGUCUUUGAUGCCGCAUAUGUUGCUAGAGUUAUUCUACCAAACACAAGCUUUCGAUCAAUUUCUCUUUUUAGUUGUAGCUGAUUUAGAAACCACUUGUAGGUCUGUAUCUGUGUAACUUGAGUGUUACAGAUGCCCCUGGCAAGGAGGUUCCUGAAUUACUACAUAAUUUUCUGGAAUGUCCUCACCUGUUGGUCUUGCUGGAGUUUUCUUGCAAUCACUCCAGAAAGACCUAAUGGUUCAGAGUUCAGGCUCUGACUCUGCAGAGACUAGGGUUCAAAUCCCAACUCCCAUUUUUCAGUUUUGUUAUCUUGUGAACAAUUAAAAUUAUCCUUUUGAAUCUCAACUUCUUUACAUAAGAAAUUGAUUGUUGUAAGAAUUUAAUAAGAGGGGCCAGCACUGUGGUGUAGUGGGUAAAGCUGCUUCCUGAAGUACUAGCAUCCCAUACAGGCGCCAGUUUGAAUCCUGGCUGUCCCACUUCUGAGCGAGCUCUCUGGGAAGGCAGUGGAAGAUGGCCCAAAUCCUUGGGUCCCUGCACCCACAUGGGAGACCUGUAAGAAGCUCCUGGUUCCUGGCUUUGGAUUGGCCCAGCUCUGGUCAUUGUGGCCAUUUGGAGGAGUGAACCAGCAGAUGGAAGACCUCACUCUGUCUGCCUUUCUGUAACUCUGCCUUUCAAAUAAACAAAUAAAUCUUUAAAAAGAAUUUAAUAUG
ensembl:lncRNA